GACGAACGCUGGCGGCGUGCCUAAUACAUGCAAGUAGAACGCUGAAGGAGGAGCUUACUUCUCUGGAUGAGUUGCGAACGGGUGAGUAACGCGUAGGUAACCUGCCUGGUAGCGGGGGAUAACUAUUGGAAACGAUAGCUAAUACCGCAUAAGAGUAGAUGUUGCAUGACAUUUACUUAAAAGGUGAAAUUGCACCACUACCAGAUGGACCUGCGUUGUAUUAGAUAGUUGGUGGGGUAACGGCUUACCAAGGCGACGAUACAUAGCCGACCUGAGAGGGUGAUCGGCCACACUGGGACUGAGACACGGCCCAGACUCCUACGGGAGGCAGCAGUAGGGAAUCUUCGGCAAUGGACGGAAGUCUGACCGAGCAACGCCGCGUGAGUGAAGAAGGUUUUCGGAUCGUAAAGCUCUGUUGUAAGAGAAGAACGAGUGUGAGAGUGGAAAGUUCACACUGUGACGGUAUCUUACCAGAAAGGGACGGCUAACUACGUGCCAGCCGCCGCGGUAA
rnacentral:rRNA from 1 species